rnacentral:lncRNA from 1 species
UUUCAGUGACCUUUCCCAUUUCCCCUCCCCAUUUCCCCAACCCCGUUAAAAUUUUAGACAGAAAUCCCUAACCCCUUCCCUUCCCUCCUCCCUUUUUUUCCCCAAAUUGAAAACCCACCUACAGUCCCCACCGAUCCACCAUCCCACCUCCGGUCUCCGGUCCUCCAGCACUCCACCUCCACUCCACGACACUAGGUGGCAUUGUUGUUCUCUUCACUUCGAUUCUUCUGCAACUUCCGAGUCCGACCCAAACCCUUCAAAUCAACAAGUUCAAGCCUUCAAGGUAACUUCUUUCUAUUCUUCUUCACUUUAGUUUUCAUUUUAAUCAUGUAUUUAAGACUUAAGAGAAGGUUGCUCUUUAUUGCUGAGUUUAGUGACGGUGACAUGCUUCGAUUUUUAAUAUACUGUUGCCAUGUUCUCUUUGAACUUUGAAGUUUGAAGUCAUUUGCUAGUGCUUUUCUGUAAAAAUUGUCUAGAUGGGCUUGAUCAUUUUCCAGAUUUUGGCAUGUCAUUUUCCAGAUUUUAUUUUAUUUCCAGAAAAACUGUUUAAAGUUUAAAUAAAAAUUAUUAAGUAUAUAUUUUUAAAAUGAUUGUACUGUGGCGGAAUUUGAAUUUGAAUUUGAAUUUAUUGAUGUAAAAUUAAAAUAUGAAUUACGAUGUUAGGUUUACAUGUAUGAGUAGUAAAUACUUCUUGUCAUUCGUUUUCUUGGUCAACAAACGGGAAUUUGAUCUUAAAGAUCCUUAAGAUUAAAAUACGAAUGAAGUUAGGUUUACAUGGUCAUGUUUUUGCAAAGUCAAAAUUUCAUCUGCUUUUCUUUUUGGUUUGAUCUGUUUUUUGGUUGGUGAGAAAGUGAAUGAAAAGUUGCUGAAAAUGAAUUGAAUUGAAUUUGUUGGUUGAUGUAAAAUGAAUUGAAAAUGAACUGUGGCGGGGUUUUGUUUUUCGUAGAGUUUCGGUUAGUAAAAAUACAUUUUGUAAGCUCAUGGGAUCAAUAUCUAUAAUUAAUAUUAUGUAUAAUAUUGAUAUUUCUUGUGAAUUUACAGAUCAUAUCUCUAUUGGUCGAGGUAUUCCUUAAAUUUAGUGAACCUAAUGAGCUUUCGAACACUGUUUUAAAUUCUCUUAGUACAACAGUGUUUUAAAUUCUCUAAUAAGUAGCCUAUCUACAUUUAUAUCCAUAUGUUAUUUCUUCUUGUAUGAAAACAAACCAAGCAAGUUUUAAUGAACAUAAGAGAAAUAGGACUUUGAGGACGAUGACGACGAUGAGGAUGAUGAUGUUUCUUCGGUAGCUUUUUAAGAUACUUUCCUUCUAAAUAUGUUGAUGGACAAUUUAUAUUUUGUUAUGAAAUUAAAUAUGUUGAUGGAUUAAUGUAUGAAUAUUAUGGUUUGUUGCUUAAUUUUCCAAAGUCAAUUUGGACUUUGAAGGUACGUGUACUUGUGGGGUUUAACUUAUGUUUUCUUACCUCAAAGAUAGUUUGAAUCAAAAUUAGAGAUUUAGUAAAUGAUAAAACUCAAAUUGAUUUAAUAUGAUUUAAAAGCAAUGGUAUUAUGCAUAGAUAAUAUUUAAAUUAAUUAUGUUAUUAUGUUAUUAAUUUAAAUUAAUUAAAUUUGACAGUUUUUUGCAGCUUAAAACUUAAAAGCAAUAACAGAAUAUUUAAAUUAAUUAUGUUAUUAUGCAAUAUGCAUAGAAUAUUUGUGACAUUUUUUGACAGUUUUGGUAUUAUUUGACAGUUUUUUGCAGCUUAAAACUUAAAAGCAAUAGCAGUGCUUAUUGCCCAAUGAUAAUAUGCUGCUAGUUCUUAUUACUUGUAUAAUCAUUUUUAUUUUUAUUCUCUUUUUUUAAGAAUUGAUUGUUACCUAAAUGUCACAAAUGUGUAAUUAUAGACAAUUAAAUAACAUUU